CUGCUGUCCAGAGCGAGCUCCUUCAAGCAGGAGACCAUGCAGCAUCUGCUCAAGGAGCGGUACAAGCAAGCGGCCGUGGUGCCGGAGCUCGCCGCAGCUCCAGCCUCCGUGGGUUAUGAAUCGUUGGCAUUUUCUCCUUGUUUCUUUACCCUCCUUAUGAAUAAAUGAUCAGUACUGCUAGAACAUGCUGUUCGCUAUUUGGCCGUCUGCUCACAAGGAAGCGAGGAGUGAGGAAUGAGAAAUGCGAGUACGGCCCGUGUUAUUUUUGCGAAUAGUCUUGAUUGAAGAACGUCUCGCUGUUUCUAACGAGAUGUUAACAGCUCAAAAGCACAGUAAAGUACAGGGCCUUCACGCAGUGACAGGAUCCAAAGUAUAAAACUGGGAUAGUUGUCUGUCUGUACACACACGUAGAUGCGGACGGAGGACAGCUGGCAGCGUAGCGGUUGCUGCCUUUGGACCCAAAGGUCGCAGGUUCGAGCUCCGGCUGUAGUACCCUUGAGCAAGGUACUUACUCUAACUUGCUCCGGUAAAAUUGCCCAGCUGUAUAAAUGGGUAAAUAAUUGUAACCUCGGCACUGUAAGUCGCUUUGGAGAAAAGCAUCUGCUAAAUGUGUGCGUGUGACGGGCCAAGUGUUUUUUUAACCUGUUCUCUUCCUUUUUGUCUUUACACAAAGGUGAAUAUUACAAGCGCAAAAACUGCACCUCAUUUUAAGUCCAUUCUAGAGCAAAUGGAGGACUAUUUGCAGCCCGUUCUUUCGCAGUUAGACUUUCCGUGUUCGAGACUGGAGACUCCAUCGAUCUCCGUCCCGGACUCCACCAGGAUUAAAGACAAGGAGGAGAAAUCGGGCCCCGACAGAGGUCCACCUGGUGCGUACCAGUCCAGAGGCCCAGUGCUUUUUGGGUUUACUGGGCAGGGAAGGAUCAAUGUAUGGUAUAGAUCGUGAGGAAUUGAUGAGCAGCACUUCUGUUUCACAUCCAUUCUCACAAUUCCAAACUGCUGCUGCUCGUAAAACCUUGCACUUUAUUCCUAAUGCCAGAUGUUAGCAUGCAUGCAUUUUGUGCUCCACUGUCUUCCUUACACCACAUAUUUCCUUUUCGUGUAGGAAUCGCUUGAUCAGCGUAUCGAGUGCCUUUGCAGUUGAGCGGCAAUUUUAGACAAAUCUGGUACUUAUUCAGUCGUAGCUGGUGAAACUGUUGAGGGCAAUUUUAUCUGUACACUUAAUGUGUAAAAAGGGUCAAAGGCCAGACCGUUCUGUAUUGAGAUGAAUUCGUUGAAUUGAAUUUGAUACUGAAUUUGUCUUUACUGAAGCUUAUUAUUGUCGUUAAUGUUACUGAUGAUGAUUACAGUUGCAGCCCAAGUACAUAUCCUAUCCAGUGGACCUUCAGUUAUUUAGUGUGGUGCAAGUGUUGAAUAUUGGCAAGAGCAACGAUAUAAAACUGUUAAAUUAACUAAAUAAAUGCAUCACUAGUUUGGAAGCA
rnacentral:lncRNA from 1 species